rnacentral:rRNA from 1 species
AACGAACGCUGGCGGCAGGCUUAACACAUGCAAGUCGAGCGGGCCCUUCGGGGUCAGCGGCAGACGGGUGAGUAACGCGUGGGAAUCUACCCAUCUCUGCGGAACAACUCCGGGAAACUGGAGCUAAUACCGCAUACGCCCUUUUGGGGAAAGAUUUAUCGGGGAUGGAUGAGCCCGCGUUGGAUUAGCUAGUUGGUGGGGUAAAGGCCUACCAAGGCGACGAUCCAUAGCUGGUCUGAGAGGAUGAUCAGCCACAUUGGGACUGAGACACGGCCCAAACUCCUACGGGAGGCAGCAGUGGGGAAUAUUGGACAAUGGGCGCAAGCCUGAUCUAGCCAUGCCGCGUGAUCGAUGAAGGCCUUAGGGUUGUAAAGAUCUUUCAGAUGGGAAGAUAAUGACGGUACCAUCAGAAGAAGCCCCGGCUAACUCCGUGCCAGCCGCCGCCGUAA